UGAUGGCCGAUCUUAUUGGGCCUAAAGCGUCCGUAGCUGGCUGCGCAAGUCCGUCGGGAAAUCCACUCGCCCAACGAGUGGGCGUCCGACGGAAACUGCACAGCUUGGGACCGGAAGGCUCGAAGGGUACGUUCGGGGUAGGAGUGAAAUCCCAUAAUCCCGCACGGACCACCGAUGGCGAAAGCACUUCGAGAAAACGGAUCCGACAGUGAGGGACGAAAGCCAGGGUCUCCAAC
rnacentral:rRNA from 1 species